UACGUAGGGUGCAAGCGUUAAUCGGAAUUACUGGGCGUAAAGCGCACGUAGGCGGCUUUGUAAGUUAGAGGUGAAAGCCCGGGGCUCAACUCCGGAACUGCCUUUAAGACUGCAUCGCUUGAAUCCGGGAGAGGUGAGUGGAAUUCCGAGUGUAGAGGUGAAAUUCGUAGAUAUUCGGAAGAACACCAGUGGCGAAAGGCGGCGUCACUGGACCGGUAUUGACGCCGU
rnacentral:rRNA from 1 species